AGCAGUAGCCGCGGUAAUACGUAGGUGGCAAGCGUUGUCCGGAAUUAUUGGGCGUAAAGGGCUCGCAGGCGGUUUCUUAAGUCUGAUGUGAAAGCCCCCGGCUCAACCGGGGAGGGUCAUUGGAAACUGGGAAACUUGAGUGCGGAAGAGGAGAGUGGAAUUCCACGUGUAGCGGUGAAAUGCGUAGAGAUGUGGAGGAACACCAGUGGCGAAGGCGACUCUCUGGUCUGUAACUGACGCUGAGGAGCGAAAGCGUGGGGAGCGAACAGGAUUAGAUACCCCGGUAGUCCCUGUCUCUUAUAC
rnacentral:rRNA from 1 species